rnacentral:lncRNA from 1 species
AGCACCCGGGGGGCGCGGGGACUGGUCCGUACUGGUCUGUACUGGGAGGACCCGUUUGUGCAAUGAGAUCCCAGCCGGGGCGCCCUACUGGUCCGUACUGGUCCAUACUGGGAGGACACAAGGCCACGUGGAUGAAGAGAUCCCAGGUGAGAUGCUGGACUGGUCCGGACUGGUCCAUACUGGGAGGACGCAAGGCCACGCGGGUGAAGAAAUCCUGGGCACGAUGCUGGACUGGUCCAUACUGGUCCGUACUGGGAGGACGCAAGGCCACGCGGGUGAAGAGUCCCCAGUUGGGUGCUGUACUGGUCCAUACUGGUCUGACUCCAGGCGCUGCGUGCGCAGGGCUCCCAGUUGCAUCCGAGCCCGUUUCCCAGUCCAAACUGGUCCGGCCCGGGGCGAUGAAGGCGCAGGAGUUCCCAGCUGGGCUGCUGUAGUGCUUCGUACUGGUUUAUACUGGGGUGUCCGCAGGGGAGGCACUGGGUCGUACUGGGCUAUACUGGGCCAUAUUGGGCUGUACUGGGCCAUACUG